UACGUAGGGGGCAAGCGUUGUCCGGAAUCAUUGGGCGUAAAGCGCGUGUAGGCGGUUCGGUAAGUCUGCUGUGAAAGUCCAGGGCUCAACCCUGGGAUGCCGGUGGAUACUGUCGGGCUAGAGUACGGAAGAGGCGAGUGGAAUUCCCGGUGUAGCGGUGAAAUGCGCAGAUAUCGAGAGGAACACCUGCGGCGAAGGCGGGUUGCUGGGCUGACACUGACGCUCAUGCACGAAAGCGUGGGGAGCAAACAGG
rnacentral:rRNA from 1 species